rnacentral:ncRNA from 1 species
CUCAUCCAGAGGGGCAGAGGGAUACGGCCCGGUGAAGCCCCGGCAACCAUUUCGCGCACACUCGUGCUUUCGCUCGAGGCCGGCGAGACAGGUGCCAACUCCGUCCGAGGUGACUGCCUCGGGAAGAUGAGG